rnacentral:rRNA from 1 species
GACGCUGGCGGCGUGGCUAAGGCAUGCAAGUCGAGCGAACCUCUCUGCGGGGUAACCCAAAGUUUGGUUAGCGGCGAACGGGCGAGGAAUUCAUGGACUACGUACCCUGGACUCGGGGAUAGCGGCGGACUUCGGUCCUUUAGCGAAAGUGCCGGUAAUACCCGAUGACCUCACAACACCGCAUGGUGAUGUGAGCAAAGUUUCSGGCGGUCUGGGAGCGGUUCAUGUCCUAUCAGCUUGUUGGUAAGGUAACGGCUUACCAAGGCAAUUACGGGUACCGGGCGUGAGAGCGUGUACCGGCGCAUCGGAACUGAGACACUGUCCGGACACCUACGGGUGGCUGCAGCAACGAAUAUUCCGCAAUGGACGCAAGUCUGACGGAGCGACGCCGCGUGCAGGAAGAAGGCCUUCGGGUUGUAAACUGCUGUCAGGGAUGAGGAAUAAUGACCAAUCCCACAGGAAGCACUGGCUAACUCCGUGCCAGCAGCCGCGGUAAUACGGAGAGUGCAAGCGUUGUUCGGAAUUACUGGGCUUAAAGAGCGUGUAGGCGGGAUAUCAGGUGCCUUGUGAAAUCCCCGGGCUUAACCCGGGAAUUGCUGGGCAAACCGAUAUUCUUGAGGCAAGUAGAGGUGACUGGAACGACUGGUGGAGCGGUGAAAUGCGUAGAUAUCAGUUGGAACGCCGGAGGCGAAAGCGGGUCACUGGGCUUGUCCUGACGCUGAGACGCGAAAGCGUGGGGUAGCGAACAGGAUUAGAUACCCUGGUAGUCCACGCCGUAAACGAUGCGCACUAGGUAUGAGAGGUCUGACUCCGAUCGUGCCGUAGCAAAAGUGUUAAGUGCGCCGCCUGGGGAGUACGGCCGCA